AUUGAACGCUGGCGGCAUGCCUUACACAUGCAAGUCGAACGGCAGCACGGGAGCAACCCUGGUGGCGAGUGGCGAACGGGUGAGUAAUAUAUCGGAACGUGCCCAGUCGUGGGGGAUAACGCAGCGAAAGCUGUGCUAAUACCGCAUACGAUCUCUGGAUGAAAGCGGGGGACCGUAAGGCCUCGCGCGAUUGGAGCGGCCGAUAUCAGAUUAGCUAGUUGGUGGGGUAAAGGCCCACCAAGGCGACGAUCUGUAGCUGGUCUGAGAGGACGACGAGCCACACUGGAACUGAGACACGGUCCAGACUGCUACGGGAGGCAGCAGUGGGGAAUUGUGGACAAUGGGCGCAAGCCUGAUCCAGCAAUGCCGCGUGCAGGAUGAAGGCCUUCGGGUUGUAAACUGCUUUUGUACGGAACGAAACGGCGAGCUCUAAUAAAGUUUGCUAAUGACGGUACCGUAAGAAUAAGCACCGGCUAACUACGUGCCAGCCGCCGCCGUAA
rnacentral:rRNA from 1 species